UACGGCCAUAUCACGUUGAAACGACUGUUCUCGUCCGAUCACCGAUGUUAAGCAAGGUCGAGCCUGGUCAGUAAUUAGAUGUGUAAUCGUUUGGAAAUAUCAG